rnacentral:sRNA from 1 species
AAAAAAAAGAGUGAUGAAACACGAGGACUUUCCUAGAGGUCACCCAUCCUAGUACUACUCUCGCCCAAGCACGCGUAACUGCGAAGUUCUGAUGGGAUCUGGUGCAUUAGUGCUGGUAUGAUCGCAUCUGUUACUACAUGCAAUGCAAUCGUAUCUAUUCUUUUUUGAAGAUUUUAUGAUCCAUUUGCAGUGGGUCCCACCAGCUAUGUAGGAAUACCCUAUCUUGUUUAUAAGAGCUUUGAUACAUGCAAAAUCUUCGAAAACAAUGUCCGAACAUAUAAUUUUCGCCCCGUAAUAUAGCAAAGAUCACGAAAAUGCCAAAAUAGUACAUUAAGGUCAAAAUUUGGAGUAGGAAAAAAAACCCUUCAUCAUUCAUUGGAGAGCUCUCUCUGGGCUUUCCGAAAAGGUAUCACAUGCCAAGUUUGGCCUCACGGUCUAAAAGUUAUAAAGUCAUACAUUUUUAACAAAAAAAAAAGAGAAAAACCGAAAAAAAGAGU